UCUCGCAGAAUGACUUCCUUGAAACUUCGCCUCAUAAAUUCCCCUAUCAGACUGCCUAUCAUUCGUUCAUUAACCUCUCUGAUAAAGACUCGACACGCGUGUUUCAAAAUCGAUCAAUAACCCUUGGAAAAGACCUCGAAAAGCUCAUAAAAUUUCUCUCAACUCAUACCUCAAUCUGCAUGCAAAUAAUCCCCCAAUUUUCCCCUCCAUUCCUCAAUCAAUCGAUCGACAACCGAUAUGAAAGAAAGAGGAAUGCAUAACUAACUCAUCCAAUAAAUCCCGAUUGGCAAAAACAUCCGCUGAACUCACCAAUUAAACUCCGACGGAGCCAUUAUACUCCAGGUAAGACUGAUCAGCUGUUUCUCAAUUCCUCAAUGAACUUUGUAUAAAGAUUAUUCACAAGUGUCUAUUGGUUGGGAAUUUUAUCACUCCUUCAGAGGUUCUCUCAAGUUCGAAUACCACAAGAUGCAUCUCUCUAUAAAUGUUAAUGCCAAGGGAUUUUCGCAAGUGUUGAGUUGUUAUUUAACGCCCACGGUGAAUACUAUUUUUCGAUUACACGGGAGUAGAUAUUCUGUCGAACAUCUGUUUACUUCUGAUUUUCCGCGUUAAAAGGCUAUGGAUAUUUCCGUUAUUUCCUGGGUGCGGUUUUAGCGGUGUUAAAUUCUCUCGUUUCACGUAUUUUCCGGAAUAACUCAUUACUUUCCGCGUUUUUUAAAAUGCGUAAUAAUGCGUACAAUAGGCUCCAGCGAGACAGCUGACCAUACAAGCCAUUUUGCAAUCGCAUUAAUGUUUUUAUGAAGAUUGAGUUAUCCUCUUUUUGCUGGUUUAUCCUCGUUUAAUAGCACUGGACAUUGUAAAUAGCACAGGCACUUGUGAAUUCUCUGAGAGUCACGUUUUCAUAUCACGGGGCUUUAUUGAUAGAAUCCCAACACAUUAACUUUUUUUUCCAUUUUUUUGUUAGGGAAUUUCUCAACGCAGAAAAAUACACACUGGAAUGUCGAUAGAUUGUCAUAGGUACUGGAGAAAGGUCUACGGCACUGACAGAUUAUGGAUUUGUUGGUUUUGAUGAGAGACGGAGACAUCUGGCGGGGAUGAAGGAUCUCUCUGAUUUUAUACUCGGGUGAUAAUAGAGGUUUGAAUUGCCCACUUUUCAGAACAUCUAUACCUCCUACAUGCAUCCGCGAAUAUGAAAUGAUGAGAUGAGUCAUUUCACUCCGAUUGAUUAAUCACAGGGUAUUAAGAGAUGU